rnacentral:tRNA from 1 species
GCCCUCGUAGUUCAAAUGGAUAGAAUAGAGGAUUCCUAAUCCUUUGAUCUGGGUUCAAUUCCCGGCGAGGGUAC